rnacentral:lncRNA from 1 species
CCUUCUCAUGAAUUACACAGGCCAGUGACUAUCUCACUUUGCAGCAUUUCAAAAUCAUAAAUUUACUUAACAACAAUAAAUAAUCAAUUUUAAAUCACAUAUAUGCAUACAGAUACUGGGAGAAGUACCAGAGAGCCAUUGGGGGGCUUGGAAUCACCAUGCUGAAUCAUCCUUGGAAGAAUUAUAAGCUCUAAUUCUCAAGGCUAAUCUUCCAUUAAAACUAUCCUUGGUCUUUCUUAGGAAACUUACUGAUGGUGGAGCAAAAACAAGAAUCGAAGAAGAAGAAAAUUUAGAUACAAUAAGGGAUGUUUUCAAAGUCAAGGCAUCCAUCUGAGCUAAUCACUUUUUUCUAAUAGUGAAUUUUUCACAGGAGACAAUUAUGUUAAAUAAACCCUAAUGCUAUUUUAAAUUCUUGCCAUUCACAGAAAUCAAUUAGAG